UCUCGGUUGGCGCAAUGGUUAGCGUUCUGGACUUUUAAUCCAGGGGUUACGGGUUCGAGUCCCGUACCGGGAG
rnacentral:tRNA from 1 species